rnacentral:rRNA from 1 species
AACGAACGCUGGCGGCAUGCCUAACACAUGCAAGUCGAACGAGACCUUCGGGUCUAGUGGCGCACGGGUGCGUAACGCGUGGGAACCUGCCCUUAGGUUCGGAAUAACUCCCCGAAAGGGGUGCUAAUACCGGAUAAUGUCUUCGGACCAAAGAUUUAUCGCCUUUGGAUGGGCCCGCGUUGGAUUAGCUAGUUGGUAGGGUAAAAGCCUACCAAGGCGACGAUCCAUAGCUGGUCUGAGAGGAUGAUCAGCCACACUGGGACUGAGACACGGCCCAGACUCCUACGGAGGGCGGAGGUGGGAAAUAUUGGACAAGGGCGGAAGGCCGAUCCCGGCAUUGCCGGGUAGUUGUUGAGGGCUUAGGGGUUGUAAGGCUCUUUUACCCGGAAUGUAAAUACAGGAACCGGGAGAUUAACCCCCGCCUAACUCCG